CCGAGUUAGGGUCCUCUGGGCCCGACCUCCCAACCCUAUGUUUAUCGAACCAUUGUUGCUUCGGCGGACCCGUCUCUCCCACGAGACCGCCGGGGGCCCGUCACACGUCCCCUGGCCCGCGUCCGCCGGCAGCCCUCUUCAUAAAACUCUUGUUAUAACCGUGUCUAUUGUCUGAAUGUAUAUACCAAUUAAAGCA
rnacentral:misc_RNA from 1 species